rnacentral:sRNA from 1 species
UAUUCUGCCCAUGCGGGAAGGAUGAGAAACUUCGACUAAGGUUCGAUUCGAGCGUAGCGAGAAAGCGUUGCCAAAGGCAACGACCCGAAGUGCGAAGCGCGCUGCGCUGAGUAAUCCUUCCCCCACCACCA